rnacentral:lncRNA from 1 species
CCGGAUGCGUGGAUGGGUGGAUGAAGCUCACCGCCAGAUUGAUCGAUGUUGCUGCUUGCGUCUGUCAUUGCUUUGCCUCAUGUCUCUCUUCUCUGCUAAAGAGAAUGGUUUGCUUGGACUCUUUAGUUAGUUGAUUGUGUCGUGUGGCACUGUUAUUAUCAUCAUCUUAUAUAAGUUAGUACGACGCCGAGAGGCCCAUCUCGAGCUGUUUUAUUUUAGUUGUGUGGAUGCAGACAGGCUGGUCUUGUUGCUUGUGUUGCCCUGUGCUUCUUCAAUAUAAGGAUUUGAUUCGUCUCAAACGAGAUAUUCAACUGAUUGUUUUCUGUGGAUGUGGAUGCAAACUGAUUCUUUGCAGCUGGCCCGGGGCACAAUUUCGUUCAUUCAGUUAAAUAACUGCGGCCCGGUGCAAGUGUGGUCAGUGUCUGUAUGAGUGUGAAUGUUGGUCUGUGACUGUGAUAGCAACAUCAGGAGCCAAAAUUGAGCUCCUCCGGUGGCCCCAGGAGGCCUGGCUGGUGGCUACAGAUAGCCACACAUCCAAAGCUGCCUCAAAUAACAUCCACUAGCUCAGCUGCUGCUCCUCCUCCCCCAUACUCCAAGAUCAGAAUUGGAGGGCUUCUGCUGCAGCAUCAGGCAGGCGUUCAACAAGGAUGCCGGGCAGCAUCCGAAUCUCAGGCGAGUCAUCCCCCCUCUCUCUCUUCUGAUUUGCAAUACUUUUAUCCAAAACUUGAAUAUGAAUCAAAUAACAUACUGUUGUGCUGGAGGCGAGAAAUUGACGGUGUUCGUCUUUUGCUUUUGCUGUGCAGACAUUCAGCCGCCGGUCACCGCCCCACUCUUCUUGCAAGGUUGGUUGCUAUCCUCUGAUUUCACUCUACUUUUCCCGUUACUUCCAUCGCACUUCCUGUUCGCUAAUGUCGUCGUAUCGUUUUGGAUGCAGUUAAUGUAGGGAAGAAAGAGUACAGCGGAGACAUAGGGCAACACGGAUUCUCCCUGUAAUCCCAUUCCCAUAUCGCCUUUCGCUAGUUUUUACUUGCGUUUUACCUUUCUAAUUCUGCGCAUCGAGAAUGUAUCUCACACCAAGAUGAUAAUAUGUGCAGUCCUGUUACAUCGAUUCGCGAUAGCAUGGUGAUGACGCUGUACAAUGCAGACAAGGAAUUGGUAUCCAAAACAGGUUUGUUUGUUGUUGGUUCAUUAAGCCCUUCUUCUGUUUAUCAUCUGCACGCCUGUCAAUUAACGCGCGUCGCAAUUUUUCUGCAAAUCAUCACAGAGGUGAAGACAAAGUUGAUUGUUGAGUUGGGAACCAUGGAUGCUGUUUUUACUCUUGAUAGUGGAGGGACAAUUAUUCUCCAGUUGCAGUUUUUUCUCAGCGAUGAAGACCGCAAGCGCAUCCAAGAGAUGGUGAGAUGCUUCUUUUAUGGUUUAUGCUAUUUCCAUGAAAGCUUAAAAACUAUUUUUUUUCUUGAAUGAAAGGUUCAGUUUAAGUUAAAAUAUAUAUUAUAUGUGUUUUUACUGUUUCUUUUUUAUUCAGAGGAACUCUGUGAUGAAAAGAAAGCAGCAAGAGCUGCUUGGGAAUGCCGAUGAACUUUAUUUCCAAGGUAAUUUGCUAUAAAUUAUAUUUUUUUAAACGCACAUUUGGAAUUCCAUGGAACAAAUUGAGCAUUAGGUGUGUCUCUGUGUGUGCUCCCUGAAUGAAAGGUUCAGAAAAUUAGUCACCAGUUAAAAUGCAGUUGAUAUGAGCACCAUGCAGGAGCUCUGUUUCUUACAAAUGGCUUUCAAAUUUUAUCAGAAGACAGCCCACUGCCUAAAGAGCAUGCAGAAGAUAUCCCCGGCAUCCCAAGCAAAGAUGACCAACUGACGCUUCGGAAGAGCAUGUCGUUGGAUGAUCUGAAAAAGAGGGUCGUCUUCUCCGAAACAAGUGUAGAUUCUGGCAUGGUGGCUUCUAAGGACCUACCGUUGCAAAUUGGUGGUAAUACUUCGAUGCUCGAGGGUCCCAUCGACAUCAACUCCAAGAAAGGACAGGGUAAACCAAAGAGUAGAUCAAGCAGCGCGGUGAAGAAGAUGAUAAGUGCCUUCGAAAGCAGCUCCCCACAGGUUCAGAACCCGUUCCUAUACAGAGAAACGAUCGUCUUGUUGCCUAAAUUCUGUCGUCACACACUGAAGAAAGUGCAGAUAAUAUUACACCGACUUCUCAAGUUUGCAUGGCCUGCAGGGUCUGCCUUCGGUGCCAAGGAUCAGAUCAGAGAGCUCGUUGGAAGAGAUGCCAUCGGUUUCUUCUUCAGAGACUUCCACCAACCCUUCACGCAAGCCUCCUACUCCCGGUGCAUCAGUGGACGCUCCAGGCCGCACCCAGACAGGUCCCAGGCCAGGGAAGCAAGCCAUGAUCAUUGGCAACAAGAAACCAAGCACAUCUUCUGGAAAGACCGGCCCGUUAAACACACAAGAAAGCCGAAGACGGAGCUCCAGGCAGAGCGCAGGAGCGAGCGACAUGAUUCGCUCGGAGAAGCGGUCAGCGGAAAAGCGCCGGCGUCGCUCCAUUGGCACCUACUCAUCGGAGCAGCAGGUCAACCCUUGUGGUGCGACGUCUAGCGUCGCGUGGAUCAGCCAUCCGCACGUCUGCAUCACCACUGCGAGCAGGCAGCUGAAAGACAUUGUUGACGUCGAGCACCUGAAUUCGAUGGAGAACUUGGGGAAGGUAUGAUGAAAACUAAACUGGUGUGAUGCUAGCUGUAUGCAUGAUGUUGGUGCUUUACUGCUUGUAGCUUCUCCUUGCUACUUGAUCCGUCCUGAUAUGCACCGUCAUGAACUUGUGGAGCAGGGCGCAGGUGACGGCGCGGCGCGGUGGCCUGAUGGUUUCCCGGUGCUGAAUGGAUGGUUGAUUAACCAGGUAAGUAUAUACUCACUGCAUUGAUCUCUCCUCUUGCCGAUGCUCGUUUAUUGAGAGUUUACCAAUGAUAUAACCUUGGUAAUGAAAUGGCAAUGCAGGGUGUGCGUGGUGUGAUAGUGAUCAUAGCUUGCGGAGCUGUGUUUUUCAACAACAGGUGAAGAAGAGGACGAGUGCAGUUGAUAACUUAUAACUAAUAUCAGAAGCUGCGACCGAUGAGGCAAUUUAUUUGUGAUGAUAACUCGCAGUUCAGUUAUACAGUAGAAGGGUAGAGGUGGCGUGGUUAGAGAGCACGUUGAGGGCACAUGAAAGCCAACAUGAAACAACAUGAGGAAGAGCAGCGCCGGGUCUACAAGUGGAUGCUGGAGGAGAAGCGCAAGGUGAAGCCGCGCGACGCGGCCGAGAAGAAGAGGCUCGACGACGACAAGGCCCUGCUCAAGCACAUCAUCCGUGCCGACACCCUCCCGGUGCUCUGAAACGAGGGAGGCUCACCACCACCAGACUUGACUGCUGUAGAAUAAUAAAGUUGUCACUGCCUGAUUGAUGGUUUGGUUCCUCUCUGCUAAGAGAAUGGCUUGAUUGGACUCUUUUGUUAGUGCGAUUGUGUCGUACGUGUGCUACUGUUAUUAUGCUCUUAUUUAUGUGGAUUUCUUGCUUCUUCAAGAUAAGGAUUUGGUUUGUCUCAAAACAAGAUGGUCAAACUGAUUCAUUCAUGUGUCACAAGUUUUUUGUUGUUGUCUCUGGAUGCAAACUAGUACUAAAUAGUUCUCUCAAGCUUGAGUUGUUCCCUGUGGGUGUUCUUACAGUGAUGUGCCAGCCCAGCCUAUCUAUUCCCAUGUCACUGAAAUUUUAAGUCCAAUGCAGCAUUGCUGAAACUUUCAGUACAAAAAAGCGAGAGAUAGAGAGAGAGAGAUAGAGAGUUACUGAAACAAUCCCUUCCAUUCAUUCAGUUAAAACCCCGCAGCCCGGUGUAAGUGUCAUUGUGGGUGUGAAUGUAGGCCUGUGAUGGCAACAGCAGGAGCCAAAAAUUGAGCUCCUUGCUGGUGCUUACAGACAGCCACACAUCCAAGCUGCUUGAAUACCAUCCACUAGCUUAGCUGCUGCUCCUCCUUCCCCAUGCUCUAAGAUGAGAACUGGAGGGCUUCAGUGCACCGCCGAGCAAGCAUUCAAUGGAUGCCAAGCAGCAUCCGAAUCGCAGGCGAGUCAUCCCUCUCUUAUGACUGAUUUGCACUGCUACUUUCUUGUGAAAAAGUUUGAACAAAACAUCAUACUGCUUUUGUACUGGAAGCAACAACUGACAGUGUUUGUUUCUGUUUUUACUCUUCAGACAUUCAACCGCCGGUCAGCACUCCUGCAUUUCCUGGUUCUACUGCAUUUUGCUUUUUCUUCAUGCACUUUUCAUUUGCUAAAUCAACCUGAAGCUGUUCCUGGAACAGGUCCUGCUGGUGUUGAUUGUGGUGAUCCUAUGAUGCCUGGUGCUCCCGUUGUUGGAAUCAUGACAGGGGUAAAUCGAGGUAUGCCUGCAGCCAUGGCAGGCUUUCCAGGAGCAGGUCCCCAGGAUUGCUGACCGGUGAAGUGUGUGCAAAGAGUGCCAAAUGCUGCAAGUGUCUAUUCUGGAGCCAUGUUUGCCUAUGGUGAGGCCACACGAUCCUAUGCAGAUGUUUCGCACGAGUUUUCUUUUCUCUUUCAUAUUAUUGAAACAUCUAAAUUCUUUUACUUCCAUGCAUAAAUCUUUUCCUAAAGCGCAUGCUUUUUAUCUAUGGUCAAAACUUCACAAGGAGAAGAGCAGUAAUUCCUAAGAGUUGUUAACUAGUGUCUUCACAAUCAUUUCCAGUUGCUCCAGCUCGAUGCAGCACGGACGUUGCAUGACUUUUUCAUUCUAUCCAUGCAUCGAGAUUCUAAGAUUUUGCAUUUUGUCAAACAAAAUUGCAUCCUUCAAGCUAUGUAUGUUUUUUUUAUGUUCAAGUUCACACGAGUGUUGCUUGCUGUUUGCUAUUGCACAAGCUUUCUUUUACAAAAUUUCUGUAAACAAAGGUGGCCCCACCAUUUUCUAGAAGUUCCCGUCUAUGAGCUUUGCGUGUUCUCUACCAAUUGGUUGCUCCAGUUUUUUGUAAUCUUAUGUCAAGGUUAUGUUUAUUGCUACUUUUCGAGUUAGUAGUUGCCUGCUUAGGAAAUACUAUUACCUUGGUUAAGUAAAUGGAAGUUAGUUUCAUGAAAAAUUUGCUCAUAUAUCAUUCUCGUACACCUUUUUGAAACACCUGUAUGUCUUAGUGGCAUAAGCUUUUUCGGACUGCACGAGCACGACUGCUAAAACAGGGUCUAUUUAGUAGUCAUGCAACUUUGACAUAAGAUGGUUAAUAAAGUGACUCUGUUGUCCAAUCUUCACUAAAGUUUAAACUAUUAAACUUGAUAGUUGUGGGAAAUUAACUUAAUUUCUUCAACCUCAAUCUGGAUUAAUGUGAUCCACAGAGUGCUGAUUGGAUACUUUCUUUCUUUUUAGCCUGGUCAGCAGCAUAUGGUGAAGCCGGAGCACGACUUGCAGGUUUCACAGGGCAACAGUCAAGCUGCCCAUUUCAGCAGCAUGGAUCCAUCAUUCUCCAAGGCUGCAGCUCUUCAGCAAACCCAAAGGAACCAGCUACCCAAGCACACGGCAGCAACCAUGUGCUACAAUGCCUAUGCACCUGGCUAAGGACAGACGAUUUCAACACCGUUUGGUGUCUCAACAGCACAACAGCCUUCCUGUAGCAGGCGUGGUACCUGGUGUGCAGAACGGACCGCAGAUUCAGCAGCAGAACCAAGCAUCUGCGGUCACUUCAACCCCUUCUUCGCAACCACUAGUGCAUCAGAAGCAGCAGUCUGCACAAAGCCCAACAGAUAGCUCUGCACUUCCCAGUCGAACUGCCAAUGCUACAGAACCUAAGCAGAAGAAACAGCCGGGUCAACAGCAGCCUAGGCAGAAUCAACAACAGAGGAACCAAGCUAGUCAACAGAGCUAGGCUUAUGAAGAGUUAAAUUUAGGACCAGGAAGCAUGGUGACACCUCAGGCUCCUGCGGCCGGCGCCUCUCCAGCCAGUGCUGUUCCUAUGGCUUCCAAGAAACAAUUUCCGGACAAAAAAUUGACGCAACAUGGCUAUGGUAAUAAAGCGUUGGUUUCAGUAACACCUCAGCCUGGGAAUCAACAUAAGCUAUAUGCCUACUGCCUUGUCAGGUUGAGGUUUAUGUGAACCAUCGAACAACUGACACUGAAUUCAGAGGCAAAAAGUAGCGCAAAGAGGGGAAAUUGCUGGGGUUUUAGCGACUUGCAGAUGCGCAUAUAGAGGCCAGCCGGAGCACGGUGGCUAGGGUUUCAACCCAGUGCAGGAAUGGAUGCCUCUCCAGGCCCGGGGUCUUGGCUCAGCCAAGGCAUGCAGCAUAGGCAAAUUUCAGGUGGGUUGCUGCCUGUGCACGGCCAAGAGGUCGGCAGUUGGUGGCACCAGCAACAGCUGUCUAGGCCGCAUCUGCAGCCUCCGCAUCAUAAGCAGCAGCAGAGCCCAGUUGUUCCAGGCAGGAUGCAUGCUCUCCAAAAUCCAGGGUCAGGCUGAUGGAACCUUCGAUACUGGCCGGUCGUUUACUUGGAGCAACCUUUCUAUCUGAAAUCCAAAGUUACUGUACACGCACACGCUCCCCUUACUGAUGCUACAUUCCCUGUUGACUCGCUGUCACAGAUUCUGUCUUCUAACUGUAUUGUAAAUUCAGAGGUAUAAUGUAAAAUUCACGAAACCACGUGGAUGUAUAUUCCUGAAAUUUGUAAUUACCUCGACAUGCAAAAAGCUGAGGGGCCGUCGUGCUGCAGCACUUAACACCAAGCUCAUGAUGUAUUGUUUUACAUUAUGCAUUCUGGGAUGUAAUGUAAAAUCAUGAAGAGGCUGCUCUGCUUCAGUUUUACCUUAAGCCAUAAUAUUAUUUUGAAGCUUCAGGAGCAGUCAUAUCAUAUCAUAUAGUAACAUGGACAUAUAUAUAUAUAUCCCUAAACGCCAUAAUAUUCUGUUGAAGCUUGAUGAGCACAUUGGAACAUGGUCGCAUGUUAUCCCAAUAGGAUAGGUGGUGGUAUUCCUUCUUAGUACUCCCUCCGUAAACUAAUAUAAGAGUGUUUAGAUCACUAAAGCGCUCUUAUAUUAGUUUACAGAGGGAGUACCAAAGUAGCCUUGACUGAUGUCUUUUUUACCUUUCUUCUCUUGGCAGGUGUCGGACCCAGCUCUUAUGUGGGAUCAAAGCUGCUGCUGCUGACAGUGCUCCAAGACCAACCGGCGUGUUGCUGAUCUCUUAUUCACGUUGAUUGCAUGCACCAAGGCUAGAGCUUCGAGGGAGGGUGUCGUUGGCAGGCAGGUACCGACCGACCGACGACAGAUUCGGUCAUACACUCGGGACUGACGACGGGUUCACUGUUCAGAUCAACCUGCUUGCGGCCUGCAGUGAAGAGGAGCACUCACUAGUCAUGGUGGCAGCUUCUGUUUCAUUCCUGUUGUAUCACGGACUGCAAAUUCAGCAGCGAAAUCAUGCAUCAGAUGCAGCAGCCUGCACUUCCCAAUUGACCUACUACCAAUGCUACAGAACCUAAUUAAGCUGGGUCAACAGCAGCCUAGACAGAAUCAAUAGCAGUGCUGUUCCCACGGCUUCCAGUUCCAGGUAGCAAGUUCCUGACAGAAAUCUGAUGCAACAUGGCCAAGGAUCUUCAGCCACAGCUACAUCUCACACAACGUUUAGAGUCGGGCAGUUCCGGGCUUCCAUCCAUAAACCAGCACAAGCAUGAGGCGUCAUCACUCAUCAGUGCAUGCACGUGUCAGGCCACAUUCCUGGCAACUCUCAAGAGUUCGACACUUAGCUGACUUUAACUCAAGGAACGGAACAGUUUUACUAUUCCCGCCAUCUCCGACUCGUUCCAGCCGUCCGAUCGGCAUUUCCCGCCAUGGGCGAGUGCAGCAUGCAUGCCAAGGUGUGUAGUUGGGGAGAUUUUUAGCUGAUCUUCUGAUGUACUCCAAGGUGGUGCAGAUUUGUAAGCCUCAACGCUGACAAUCAGUCUGCAAUUCAGCUAAGCAGGAACCCUGUUCAUCAUGGGCGCAUCAAGCAUAUUGACACGCGUUACCACUUACAUUCAAGAGUGUGUCGAGAACAAGCUCGCCCGUUACAGUGGAACACGUACGUCAGUGCCUAGAAUCAGCUUGCUGACAUCCUGCGAGGACGAAGUUUCACGAGCUGCGGGAGCGCAUCGGUGUUAGUAGUCGUCAACAAAGCUCAACAUGCUUAAGGAGGCGAGUGUAAGUGUUAAGCUCGUCGUGGUUCAGUUUCGUCAGAAUCUUCACUAGUUUCAGUUUUGUCGGUUAAGUCCGUUGAUUCUUUUUCAUCUGGUUUGUCUAAGAAGUUCAUCCUCGCUAAAUGUCAAUUUUUCGUCUGGUUGGCUGCUCAAGUUCGUUGCCUGACGGCCGCAUAACCCACUGUGUGCACUUUGUGUUGAGGAGCCUGAAUGCGCCGCACAUUUGUUUGCUACCUGCUCUUUCACGAAGGACCUCGAUCCGAGCUUGAUGGUGACUUUUGUCAGCUGGUGGCGGCGCUCCAGUAUUACGUUGGACAAAGAAAAGGCGAAAUCUUGGUGGUCGACGCUGGAGCAAUUAUGGACCCAAUCCUUUGCCUCAACCUGAACUCGCAGUUUCUUGUUUUUUGUUUCGCAUCAUGAGAGAGUAAUUCUCCUCAACCACUUUAAUCUUGUACUGUAUUUCUGAAGCUCUAGAAUGGUAUAAUGGUACACCAUCCACCUCAAUCGCUUUAAUCUUAUUAUUAAUCGGUUCCUGAAAAAGGAUUCUCUUCAAGCAUGGUUGGUUGCCGCUCCUCCUCAAUGCAGUCCAGCAAGUUCAACGUGCACCCAAGGUAGGCUUUGUCAGGUUUUCAGGCUCUUUCUCCACUUGGAUACAUAUUUUUCUCUCAGCCUUUUCAGCUUGGCAGCAACCACCACUGCUGCUUCAGUUUGGUUGAACUGAGUUUGAGUUCCAAAUAGCAGCAACCACAUCGGUGAAAGUUCCAAAUAGCAGCAAUCACACCACUGCCGCUUCAGUUUGGUUGAACUGAGUGAGAGUUCCAAAUAGCAGCAACCACAUCGGCGAAACCGCUGCGGAAUUUCAGACUUGUUCUCGUACCUCAACAUUUUAGCUCUUGGAAUAUCAGUGGAAGCUUCAAAAACAAGGUCAGAAGUCACCCCGGGCAGACUCUGCAAAGUUGAGUUUGGGAGACACCCCGGUCAAUUUUUGUCAAUGAUCGAGGAGGGGGGGUCUGCAUGUUGGACCAAGUGAAAUCCCUGUCAAGCAAAGGAGCAUCUGAAUUUGAAGGUCUCUAAUUCGGUCGUUCUAAUCCCUCCAUGCCAGAAUAUCAACCUCCAUGCCAGAAAAAUUUGCACUCCAUAUAUACCCAGAGUCGUCAAACCUUUCAGUAAAAGACAAGUAAGGUUACUGAAACUGCUGCACUUGGGGCUUAAAAGUUUAUUCAUUCAGUUAACACCUUGCAGCCAGGUGUAAGUGUCAGUGUCUGUAUGAGCAUGGGUCUAGUGUAGGUCUGUGAUAGCAACAGCAGGGGAUUUGCUCAAGUUCGUUGCCUGACGGCCGCAUAACCCGCUGUCUGUAACAUUUGUAUGAGCAUGGGUCUAGUGUAGGCCUGAAAUUAGCUCUUCCAGUGGUCACAGGAGGCCUUGCUAGUAGUGGUUGUUACAGACAGCCACAAAGCCUAGGCUGCCUUCAACAACAUCCACAAAGCCUAGGCUGCCUUCCCCACUCUCCAAGAUCAGAAUUAUAUUGGAGGGCUUCUAUGCACCACCGAAACCAUGCCGGGCAGCAUCCGAGUCUCAGGCAAGUUUAUCCCUCUCUCUUAUGAUCCGCAAAUAUUAAUUUAUUCUUCUUCCCGAAAAAAGAUACGAACAAAACGUAAUUAAUGCUCUCCUCUUUAAUGAAUGGAAAGCAGCGUCGCUGCUGCGUCUCGUCAAAAAGAAAAAGAGAUCAUACUGCUCUAUCUUUUGCUGUGCAGACAUUCAGCCACCCGUCGCCGCGCCACUCUUCUUCCAAGGUUGGCUGCUGCCUUCUGAUUCCACUCUACUUUUCCUGUUUCCUCGUUUUAUGUUUGCUAAUGUCAUCGCUCAUAUGUAAACUUCGUUUGUUUUCGGGAUGCAGUUAACCUGGGAAAAAAAGAGUACAGCGGAUACAUAGGACAUGAUGGCCUCUCUUUGUAAGCCCAUUUCCGUACCGCCUUCACUGAUUUCUAUUCUCUGUUCACCUCUCCAUUUUUACAAAAUGUGCAUUGAGGUUGCACUUAUUGUGCACCCAAGGAAAAGUUUGAAGCUAUCUCACGCCAAAAAAUUAUAUAUGUGCAGUCCAGUUACAUCGCUUCGUGAUAGCAUGGUGUUGUCGCUGUACGAUGCAGAUAAGGAAUUGGUAUCCAAAACAGGUUUCUUCUGUUAGUUUGUUAUAAUAAACCUAUCUUGUAUUUAUCAUCAGCACACGUACCAGCUGAUGAUGUGCAUUAUGGUUUCAUGUAAAUCACAACAGAAGUGAAGACACGGUCGAUAGUCGAGCUGGGGAGUACGGAUGUUGUGUUUAGCCUUGAUAGUGGAGGGCAAAUUGUUCUCCAGUUGCAGUUCUUGCUCAGUGGUGAAGAUCGCAAGCGCAUCCAAGAAAUGGUAACAUGCCAAUUUUAUUGUCCAUAUGCUGUUUCCAUGAAAAAUCAAAAAACAUCUUUGUUGAAAGGUUCAUCUUAAGUUAAGGUAUACCACUCAUGUUUAUACUAUUUCUUUUUAUUCAGAGGAACUCUGCAAUGAAAAGAAAGCAGCAAGAGCUGUUUGGGAAUGGCGACGAACUUUUUUUUCCAAGGUAAUAAUAUUCAUUACAGUUUGUGUUGCACUGCAAGCCCACAUUUGGAGUUCCAUGGAACAGAAUGUAAUAAGCAUAAGGGUGUGUGUCUGUCUCAGCUUGCCCCCUAAACAAAAGGUUCCGAACAUACAAAUUCAAGCCUUAGCACUUCUAAAAUUUCUGUCUCUGCAUUCUGAAUGCUGGUUUGCGAAAUCAGUUAAUGACGAAAUAUUCAGUUGACAUGACCAACAUGUGGGACUUUUCUUUCUUUUUCGAAUUCUACCAGACAGCACACCACCUAAAGAGCAGGCAGAAGAGAUCCCCGACAUCCAAAGCAAAGAAGACCGACUCACACUCGGGAAGAGCAUGUCGACGGAUGAUCUGAAACGGAGGGUACGAAUACGGCGGCUCCAAAGAACCCCCUGUUGCAAACUUCGACGUCCGAAGGCCCCAUUGUUGACAUAAAGGGUCUACCGCCGAAAAGUGACGUUGGCUCUAAGAGAGGGCAGGGUGAACCCGAGAGUAGAUCGAGCAGCGCGGUGAAGAAGAUGAGCAGCGCCUUCGAGAGCGGAUCUCCGCAGGUUCUUCUGAACCUGAACCCACCUUUAUAUUAUACAGUGAAAAUAUUGGUCUCUCUGCUGCAUAAUUUCCGGCUCUCACAUUAUGGGAAAUGAAACACUGAUUCUAUCAUGGGUUGCAGGGUUCGCCUUCGGUGCCAAGGAUCAAGUCGGAAGGGUCGUUGGAAGGGAUGUUGUCGGCUUCCACCAAUCCUUCAGACAAGUCAUCUGGCAAAGUGACCGUUACUUCUGGUGAUAUAGGUUCCGAGUCGCGGUCAGGAAGGCGUGCCACGACGAUCAUCAGCAACAAGAAACCAAGCGUGUCUAGACAGGCCCGUUUGUUGAAUGCUAAGGAGAGCAGACGACGGAGUUCCAGCAGGCGCGGCGGAGCAGCCAAGACGAGCAUGGGGGAGAGUGCGGAAAAGCAAAAUCAUCAUCGUCGCUCCAUCGGUCCAAUGCGUUCGGACGCGACAUCUAGCAUCGCCUGCACCGGCCACCCCCGCAUCUGCAUCACCACCGCGAGCAGGCAGCUGAAAGACAUCUUUGGGCUUGAGCACCUGAAUUCGAUGAAGAAUGUAGAGCAGAGCGCAAGGGAAGAAGACACCGAACAAGUGCGAAAACUCAGAUAAUUAGAUUGUGGUGUUAAACUGUUGGUGCCCACUUCAUCCUGACUGACUGGCAUCAUGAACUCGCGGGCAGGGCACGAGCGGCGAUGACGCGGUGGGCUCUAAGCGGCGGCGAUCCGAUGGGUUCCCGGUGCUAAAUGGAUGGCUGAUCAACCAGGCGAGUGUUUGACCUCUUCUCUCUUUAUCUCUCUGGCAUUGAUUUGAGUUGCUAAUCUAAUUGGCAAAAUGGCGAUGGGGAUAUGGGGGAUGCAGGGGGUGCGCGGCGUGAUCGUCAUCAUAGCCUGCGGCGCGGGCGUUCCUCAACAACAGGUGAAGGAAGGAAGGAAGGAAGAAGAGGACUUGAUACAAGAAGUUGCGGUCGAUGAGAUGCAGUGCCAUUAUUGAUACAAGAAGAAUGGCGAUGAGGAUGAACGGAUGGAUAGAGCUCCCGGACACGAGCAUGGAAACACUUGAAUGUGUACAAACAAAUGUGUAUUUCACAAAAUGCUUGCAACCACGCCAUUGCUAGUGAACGUUCGUUAGUUGAGUAACGAGUGAACGUAUUACAGAGGUGUUCUCCUUUGGUGCCGCUGCUUAGUUUUGCUUGGUUUUGUACCCACUAAACAGUCCAAAAUGGUAGUAAGGGUAAAAGGGUAAGGUUGUCCUCUUCACAUCAUAUGGAGGCCGGGAGGCGGGCCUCCUCCAUAAUUACGAACUAAUUAUGUCAGGCGACUAGAUGGUGCGAAGCCACGCUUACUGUGUCAGGUCGAAACCGUGCAGGCGGGAACUGAGCUUGUGCGCCCUCCCGUAGCGGGAUUUCCCCCGCUCCGACGUGUGGGGGUGGAGGUGGCUCUCCACGUCGGCGGCGGAGGAGGAGGAGGGCGAGGCGGCCGGAGACGUGGUGGCAGCGUUGAAGCCAGGCGUUCAAGCUGCGUAUGAGGGUGCUCCCCGGUGCGGAUGCUGUGGGCCAGAGUCCUCACAUCACCUCCUAGUUAGAUCGUAAUUAUGGAGUAUCUUAGUCCGUGAUUAUGGAGUACCCCAUCUAGUACUUAGUAUCCAUUGAAUAAGUACANNNNNNNNNNNNNNNNNNNNNNNNNNNNNNNNNNNNNNNNNNNNNNNNNNNNNNNNNNNNNNNNNNNNNNNNNNNNNNNNNNNNNNNNNNNNNNNNNNNNNNNNNNNNNNNNNNNNNNNNNNNNNNNNNNNNNNNNNNNNNNNNNNNNNNNNNNNNNNNNNNNNNNNNNNNNNNNNNNNNNNNNNNNNNNNNNNNNNNNNNNUAUAUAGGGUAACUCCACCUCCUUCCUCUCCACUAAUCGAAUUAACUUCACCCUGUCUCUGCAUUGCUUGAGGAUCCUCACAUUUGGAUUUGCUUAUAUUCUUCAUAAUGCCAACCGGGAGGCCAAAGAGUACUAUGCUUUCAGAUGAGAAGAAGAACAUUUUUGAAAUCAAUCCUAGAAACAUCAAUACCCAUUUCAAGAGCUCUCUUAGUUGUUGGCCCGAACUGCUAGCGAGUAGCUAGCUCUCUCUCACAGUACAAUCUAGCAGUGGAACACUACAACAACGGCUACACACUCACUCUGAUCACGGAUUAGUGCAAUGCGCACACACACUAGAGACUGGAGUACUACUUGAGCUGAAGUUGGUACACUCACGAGUAGAGGAGGAAACUGAAAUGGCUUGAUGCCUUGCUUUGAUUGGAAUGGAAUGCUUACAACGAUGGGCAUCGAGCCAUCGACCCUAUAUAUAGUGCAAUGAACCGACUAUACUACGCAUAGGCUGACGUCAAACAAGCGCAUAGGCUGACGUCAAACAAGUGAAUUACGUCACUCCUGACCUUAUAUGCUACUUACUUAGCUACUAAGGCACGGUUGUUUCUGCUAGUAGAAAAUUCCUUUUCUACCACUGCCGACAUGCAGCCAUGCAUGCAUCUGAGACUAGCUACGCAAAUGCUGCUGGUGUCGUUGUGUGCACCGGAAGACCAAGGUUGACUCAAUAUAUCAUCAUCAUCAUCAUCAUCAUCAUCAAGUACAACAAAAGAAUUACGAGUUGAAAUAGUUUUUAUACCUUGCAGAUUUUUCUUCAUUGCUGCAUCUAUAAUUUUAUUGGAGAUAUUUUCCCCAGAUACGCCCAGCUCCCGAAUCCUGCUACUAGCUAGUCCUGAUCAAAGGAUCAGCUACGUUCAAACGUGGUUAAGUGUGUGUNNNNNNNNNNNNNNNNNNNNNNNNNNNNNNNNNNNNNNNNNNNNNNNNNNNNNNNNNNNNNNNNNNNNNNNNNNNNNNNNNNNNNNNNNNNNNNNNNNNNNNNNNNNNNNNNNNNNNNNNNNNNNNNNNNNNNNNNNNNNNNNNNNNNNNNNNNNNNNNNNNNNNNNNNNNNNNNNNNNNNNNNNNNNNNNNNNNNNNNNNNNNNNNNNNNNNNNNNNNNNNNNNNACUAUAUAAUAGUGUUAUAUAGGGUAACUCCACCUCCUUCCUCUCCACUAAUCGAGUUAACUUCACCCUGUCUCUGCGUUGCUUCAGGGUCCUCGCAUUUGGAUUCGCUUAUAUUCCUUCCUCUGUAAUGACUCUACUUACCAUUGUAAUAUGAGUUAAAUGAGAAAAGACCCAUCUCGGGAAUUACGACAUGCAUAUGCCGAAGGAAAGAGAGCCUAAAGGAAGGAAAUACGGUCUAAUUAACUUCAGAAAUAAGGAAAGAAAGAGAAGCUAAGUUGUCCUUUAAACGUGACAGAUUAAGAAGGAAAGAAAAAGAGAGGACAUAAUUCUAAGACAUGCAUGAACACAAAAAGAGAGGACAUAACGCAGAAGUAGGACUGCGCCCGAUGGGCACCCGUGCAGCACAUAAAAGUCUAUCUCCUUCCAAGGCGCAUUGAUGCCGGCGGCGGAGGAGCAGAAAGCCAUGUCCGGCUCCGGCCCGGUGCCCGGGGCUGCUGCCGGCGCGGUGGCGGUGCCCAUGGUGGAGUCCUGUGCUGAGCACCAGGUCUGGGAGGCGCACCAGGUCCUCCGGCCCCUCCUCACCUCGUCGCCGGUGGCUGCAUGUCAAAGUGAGAAUUUUCAUUGCAAUCUUCUUCAACUUGGGUGCACAUGUGCCAUAAUUCAACCACCAUUUUGUUGUGUUAAGACAUCAAUAGAUUAUUAGUUAGAAAAGUAUAAGAAGGAGAACAAAGAAAGGGUCCAGAAAGUAUAACAAGGAACCAACUUUGUAAUGCAAUGGAUCACCGCUGCUCUAAAUGUUCCAUCGUUCAUUACAAUGCUGAACCAUGAGAAAAAUGUAUAGAAAUUUUAAUAUUCCUUCCAUUCUCAUGUUUCCUAGCAAAUAGUGGUUUAAAUUUACUCAUCUCUAACACUUGGUUCAUUCAUCUGUACUCACAUGCUUAUAUGGCCUCUUUUGUGUAAUUAACGUGGAGUCCUCAUUGUUAAGGAACUUCUAUAUUUAUUUAUUUUACAUUUUAUAGUUCUACCUUUUAUUGAGGGUUUAGUGGUCAGCUAUUCGGUAAUGUUUCUACAUGCAAAGAUAAAUGCUAUGCUAAAGGCAUCUAUUGACAAGCUUUUAUGUUGACAAUGCAUGACAUGUUGAUGAUUUCUCUAAUUAUUGACAUGUUAAUAUUUUUAUUUAUUUUUGCGAGUGGCAUGUUUAUCUUUUGCCUUGGCGUGACAUCGUUCUAAUUCCUUUCAUUAUUUUAUCAUGCCCAAGCAGGUAUUACCCGUAAUAAGUUUUCAGCAGUCACUUUUCACUGUAAUUCCCAUGUCAAUUUGAUGCAAUCAAGAAGUUUGUGUCACAUUUUCAAAAAAGAAGAAGUUUGUGUCACGUUGAUCUUUUUUUUUUGAGGUGGUUGAUCUCUUUUACUGGUAUUGUUUCUUUAAUCUCUUUUGACCACGAAACUGAUUUGGCACUUAAUUUGCAAAAAUAAUAAGGGUAGAUGGUUGUACAUGUUUGGAAUUUGUCGAUGCACUCUUCGGCUCUUAGCUGAUUGUAAACCAAAUUAGCUAUAUCUUGUAGCUUGGUUCAGGACUAUAGAGUUAUUAAAGCUGUUGCACAAAGAUAAUGCUUAAAUAAUGAGCUUACGAGUUAUGAAUACAAUUGCGAUCAAAAUAGUCAAAAAUUCUCCAUACUAGUACAAUGCCCGUGCGUUGCCACGGGCCUUUUAAUUCUUUAUUCUGAUUGCACAUAUAUACGUGUAUUAUUGUAUAUAACUCGGCGAAUUUUAGGCCCCUUCGAACAACACCACGUCGGCAACUUUGUCAAAGGAUUCCUUUUGAAUGUUGACAUAAUACAUCUCCAUCUCUCUCAUACUUUGCAAAAAUAAGCAUAUAUGAAAAUUCAUCUUAUAUAUUGUCAUAUCCAACAAGUAUUACAAAGAACCAUUAUUUGUACAUAUCUCUUCCAAUUGUGUAAGACUUCAAUGAGUUUUCAUUCCGCCCAUCAUAAAGCUUUGUGAGUUGACACUUUCAAAGCAUCAUCCAAAGCCAUAGUUCUUAUUUCCAAUCUAUAAAAGGGAAUAUAUAAACACAUAUUUUAAAAAAAAUCAUAUAAGCCCAUAUACAAUAUAUAUUCAUUUGUCAGCUGCUCGCUUUGAGCAAGUGAUAUUUCUCUCACGGCAAACAAUUAUCUUUCCCUAAAAAACACAAACGGCAGCUCAUUUUCUUCUCAUCUUAUAAUAAACAAAACAGUUCACUCUCUGACUCUCACCGCAAGGCACAUGCACAUCUCAUUCCCCCGACUUGCUCUCCACGUCACGGCGUCGACCGCCAUCUCUCCCCACCACGGCCUUUUGCUGCCGCCUUCCCUCGACGCCAUGUCAUUCAGCCCGCACCUUCCUCUCACCACCAUCUCUCCUUCCCUCCAUUGUGUCGCCCGCCCCCUUCUCUCCUCUCCACGACGUCCCAGCCCAAUUCCCGGUGCCAAGGAAUGCACAUCGUCGUAGCUGAGGGCGACCACCACAGUGUGUUUUGCUGCCAAGUUAUAUGAAAUGAUAUAUUAUCAUGUGAUCCUUUUGCCUCUUUUAAAAUAAAAAAGACUGUUGUCGAGGUAUGUGCCCGCGAGUUGCCACAACACCAAACUUUAUUGAGGCAAUAAGAGAAGCAUAAGAGGACAAAUCCCAGAGAAAAUGAAAUAACCAAAAGAAGAUUAUGUUUUGGUUAUGAAGCAUAGACAGGGUCAUCCACGAGGUUCCCCACACCGCCUCGCUCUCCAUGGUAACUAUCUAUCAGCUCGAACCAGACAACCGGCAUUCAGCAGAUCAUGGAUCUAGUGUGGGUUAACUCCCUCAUUGUGAUAAAAAAAGGUAUGGAGCACUCCUUUGCCGUGCACUCUUCAUUAUUCACAUUCUCCUUUCAUUCACCCCUCUGCAUCAAGUGCCGGCAGCAAUAGUGGCAACGGAGCAGCUGCGGAUUCUUUCCAUAUUUGAGCACAAUAAGAUGGCCCUCAACCAGAUUUGAUUGGACUUGACACCCAUGAUUAGAAGGCUAUCAUCAACUUACUCACCGAGGUACCAUCUGAUGACAACAACAUAAUAAAAUUCAUUGCUUGCCGAGCUAUGUCCCGUAGCAAUUUCCUGACAAGCACUCAAUCAUAAGGACAAGUCAAGACAUAACAACAUAUUGGCCAUGCAUUUCUAAAAAUCUACAAUACACAUACCAUGGUCAUAAUAUGUGAUGUCGUCUCUUUUUUCCCUUUCAUAUUUUUAACAACGAGUUAAAAUAUUCCCUUGCCUCCAAUAUCAUUGUGAAAGUUGCAAUGCUCCACAUUGUGUCUCAAUGUUGUCACACAAUAGGGUCCUCUAUUAGAUGAAUUUUGAUAAAGAAAGUUGGUUUGGUUAUAUCUUUGUAGUUUCUUAUAUACAAAAACUACCGUAAGAAGAUAAAAUAAGUAGAAAAUUAUUCUAUUUUUCUACACUAUCGACCCUAGGCAAUUAGCAUCAUUUAAACGGUAAAAUAAUGCAUUUCGUUAACUUGUGAUGGUCGGUAAAAUAAUGCAUUUUGAUAACUUGUGAAAAUAAUCAGAAAAAUAUCAUGUUUUUCUUACUCGAUAAAUGGCGAUGCAUGUGGAGUGCACACAAUCACUGAACAACCUUGGUCGAGCAACCUAAAUGAAAAGUAAAAGCACCAUAGUUUCUAGGAAAUGACUUCAGCUCAUUCAUAUGAAAACAUGUUUAGAAGAUAGAGGUAUAUGAGCGCACCUGGCCAUAAAUUCCCUCGAAGAGAAAGGAAUUAUGACUGAAACAUGAAGCUAGCAUAUGGAUAUCGAUGAUUAAAUAAUGAGGAAUGCACUCAAGAGAAAGGAAUAAAAUGUUGAGUUUUUGCUUACAAAUAAUUCCUUGAUUAAAACUUUCUUCCAUCAUCAGCAUGCUAAAUUUUGCAGUUUUUUGUAAGAAACUUCCAAUCUAUUCAUCUUCAAUCAUGGCAGUAUAAAGAACAGCAAAGGUAAUAAAAAUUACAACCAUGUCCGUGGACCACCUCGCGACGACUACAAGCACUUGAGCGAGCCGAAGGCGCGCUGCCGUCAUUGCCCCUCCAUCACCGGAGCCGGGCAAACCUUGUUGUAGUAGACAGUCGGGAAGUUGUCGUGCUAAGGCCCCAUAGUGCUAACUUUCCAAUGUUAAUUGAUCAAGAAAUAGAAAGUCAAAAACCAUUUUUUACUUGUAUUUGCAUGCAAAUGUGUGGACGGAUAACCAUUGGGAGAUAAAUAUCAGAAAUCAUUAACUAAAACUAUCGAUAGUUAAUCUGUAUGGUGUGAAAUAUCUUGAGAUCAUCAUAAAAACAACCAAAUUGGACCUUUAUGAAACUGCCACAACCCACCCCCAAGAACAAACACAAAAAUAUAUGAAAAAUAUAUAGCUAAUAUGGCAAGCAUACCCACGUCCAUAAUACAACCAUAAUGCAUAUCAUUCCUGAUACAUUUCUACUGCAGGUAGAGUCAUCAUUCAAAACACAACAACACAAAUUUAUUCAAUGUAUGUUCUGAGGCCGGAUGCAGUUGUAUUUCUCUUGGAUAUCUCUUGAAUAUUCCGCAUGAAAAUAUUAGAUUGAAAGAAAACCCGAGUGAGCCUACAAGUUGAAGAAAAAAAAUCUAAACCUAAACAUAAGAAACAAAACAAGGACAUUUUAUAAGAAACAAAAAAGUGAUGAAGCACAUACCUAUAGGCCCGCAUACAAGGUAAGACACAACUGCACCAUGAAAUUAUGGGUUUCACAAAACAUUAUGCGCUCAAAAAUAUUAGUUAGACCUAUCCAUUAAUUUAUUAGCAUGCAAAGUCACUCGGCUAAAGGGAAGCAUCAAGCAACACCUCUAUGAUUGGACUUAAAAGGACUACUACACCAACAAACAUAAGCAUAUGAUAAUUACCUAUUCUCUUGAUUUAUUUGUAGGGUUUUCAUACUAUACCAGGGUUGGGGGCUGCAAAUAAGUGGAUCUCGAGGAGGCGUCAUCGAUCUGUAUUGAGAUCUCUAGAUCGCUGCUCGGUCAACUUAGUGCAAGGAGCCACACCAUCUGUAAACCAUUGUAGGAUACUACAAAAUGGAAAAAAAUCAUUUAAUAUAAGUGCAUAACAAUAGUAAGUCGUUCAAGGGAAAGCUUAACAAGUAAACAAUUUAAUUUUGUCAUUAUUCAGAAAGGAAAGAUGCCUACUCAUUUUGAAAAGAGUAUGCCUACUCAUUGUCGUAGCCUCGGUGUCAUCAGAAAGAGCCUAUCUAUGUAAUCAAACACUCACGGGAAAACCUCUAAGGUUCUGGACUUCCUCCUUUGGUUGCAAGAGCAAUCUGGUAGUAAGUCUCAAACAAAAGAUGUAAAGCAACAAGUGAUAUAUCUGAUUGUCUUCCGCUGCAUGUUGUGUCUUCUCUUCUGUUCACUUCUCUCUAGGCAGCAACCAUCGUGAUAUCUAUUUGCUUGUCUUCCCCACCAUGUUUUAGGAGUGUAUGAAGGCUGGUGCGAAUAAUCCCAAUUUACACAAUGGGUAAUGCCAGUAAAAGAUAGAUCGAUUGAACUCACAUAAGCUGGCACUAAUCACUCUGUUAACUACUAAAGAGUGUAGACACAUGCUGUUGGUUAGUAAUCCCUCCGUCCGAAAAAGCUUGUCCCUAAAAUGGAUGAAUCUAGCACGCAUCAACAUGGUGGGGAAGAUUUAGGAAUUCUACCAGCUCCACGUGAAGUAAGAUUUAGAAAUUUGGCAGGAUCUAUAAAAUUAGGGGUAAGCCAGUCUGAGCAAAAUAAUGUGACAAGGAAUUAAUGAGACAAGUUUCAUAGUGCAUCAACAUGAGGUAGAUAUAUGUAUAUAAUUGAUUUUUUAAACAUAAACUAUGAAAGAGUCCAACAGUAGACAUCUUUUUGAAACAAUGGAACAGUAAUCACCAAGGCAACAAUUAAGCACUAAUUUAAUGUUGAGCCCAACAUAAAUUCUCAUAAACAAUAGAUAUUUGAAUACCUUGCAUCACUUUAUUUGCUUGCAAAGUAGAAAGUUUGAGCAGUUCAACACUUCCACUUUAUAUGACAAAGUUUACGAUUCUUCUGUAGCCGUCCACAUUUUCUCACAUGAACAUGCAUCCAACAGUAAUUUAGAUACCUAGGUAACAAAUAUAUGUCAAAAAAAAUCCCAACAAAAUAUCUCUCGUUUUCUCAAUGUAACUACAUUUACACAUGUCGCAGAAAAAUUGGGAGAAAUACUAAAGCUAUACUACAGGACAAGGAUAUUCGCGAUAGCAUCCAUGGAGCUCCCGGUAGGGCGAGGCAGGGUGUCCACCCCUCCUUUAUUUCUGACAAACUAUACUAUAAUAUACAUACCUGUGUACGCUCGAUCGAUGGAUGACAAUUGCAAUAAAUCGCUGAAAGAGAAAGAGUUCUCUUUGAUGUUGGGCUGUGACUUGUGAAAAGGCUCCUUAUUUGGGUCGUGCUCUCAUGAUGGCUGCACAUAGGACCCACAUGCACGACGCACCGAACCAGUCAUCACGAAGGUACGAACACGAACAGACAAACAUAACACACACCACAAGCCCAGGCGCUGAACAUACAGGAAGUAAGAAAGCUAAACCUUUUGAAAGCUAAAUUGUUUGAAACCUAAACAAAUGUUAAUUACAACAAUCAAGAUAAUUUAUAUAUAAUUACAACAAUAAAACUGUAAAAGGCAAACAAAAGGCAUGAGACAGCAAUCAGUUAUUGGGAAACAAAGUAAUUCAAGGAUACUAAAACUAAUGAACAAAAAUGGCACAUAUAGAAAAUGCCCAUCAAAAGGAAAUGAAUCAUACCAUGACUCAAAUUCGUCAUGGGAUGAGAAUAUAUCAAGCAAAAUGAAAUUCAGUAGCGACCACAACUCUGCCCCAACUCCCAGUCAAAGGAGCAUUUUAUCCAUUGGAACGUGCCCCAACUCCCUCAAUAAUUUGCACUUUGUAUUUUUUAAAAGAUGUCCCUGAAAAAAAGAAUCUGGCCAACACGUACAUACAUGGGGAAGGGAGAGAAAUAUAUAAGGGCAAUAAUUCAGAUCAUGUGACUUCCACUUAUAAUUAGCAAGAAACUUUGCAUCAAACAUAGCCAUCUCAUAUGAAGUGAUUAUUAUCGGAAAACCAGGACCAACAGUUUUGGGCAUGUAGUUUCUCGCUAGCUCUGUCCGAGCCACUUUAUCUCCAUGAUAAAUCAGACCAUUUAGAGAAGGAGCAAACCUGAAAUUAAGUAUUCCACAUAAGAUAGCAAACAAACUAAGCACAGUGAAGGACAACUCUGGAUGCUUUACCUCAUUGAGUCGUUCAACCAGUUUGACAGGGUGGAAGGAAGAGCAAUAACCAUGUAUGGACCAUACAGACCAUUCCCUUUAGGAUGACCAAGAAAUGCAAUUGUCUGAAUUGUUUUUCCAAGGCCCAUUUGAUCACCCAGUAUCCCAUUAAGCCCAUUUUGCCACUGUGAUAUUAGCCACUUAACGCCUUUUAUCUGGUAAGAUUUCAACUUCCCCCUCUCAAUAACAGAACAAGGCUGGCUUGCUCUCUUUCCCACUGUUCUUCUUCUGUUUGAGUACCAUCAUCAGCAGAAUGAUCUUCACGAGAUCUUGUAAGCAUGUCUGCCACUGCAGUUUUAGCCUUCGUCUGAACAACAUUUUAUUUCCAGUAAUUAGAUAUAACAUAAGGUCUAAUCGAGGAACAUGAGUUGCUUUCCCUAUAUAUUCUUCUAACUAAUAACAGAACAAGAUAACACUCAGAAUGAUGAGCCAUCUCAUGGAGAAUAUUAAAAUAAAUGUUAUUCAACUGACAUUAAUAAGUCCAAGUCAAAGUAAUUUAGACCUUAGAACAUCUUGAAUAGUCCAUUUAACUAAGAUUUGUAACCUUUCGUUAAGAAAGAUGCUACUAAUAAAAAGGAAGUCAGGAAUUUUUGAUGAGUAGACAUUAUGAGAUCAAGCUCCCCCAUCUAAAGUUAAUUCACGAGGAAACGACGACCAGAUGAGGUAAAUACACUCACUUUCAAAGUAGGUCAAUGAAAAGCAUCCGGUCUCUUCCUUGCCGAGCUGCCCUCAGUAAAAACUACCCUGUUCAUCAUGUUGACAGGCUUCCUCUCGCUGCAAAUCCAACACGAUUCAGCCUCUUCCUAACUAAGCAACAAAUUUAUACAUUACCUUAGAGAACAUGCAAUAGCAGGUCAUAUCAUGUUUGUGUAGGUAGGUAAAAUUCACUAAAUGAUGAUAUUAUAGAACCAAAUUCUGUAAAGAACAAAAAAAAACAG